rnacentral:rRNA from 1 species
UGCCUACGGGAGGCAGCAGUGGGGAAUUUUGGACAAUGGGCGCAAGCCUGAUCCAGCCAUGCCGCGUGCAGGAUGAAGGCCUUCGGGUUGUAAACUGCUUUUGUACGGAACGAAAAGACUCUGGUUAAUACCUGGGGUCCAUGACGGUACCGUAAGAAUAAGCACCGGCUAACUACGUGCCAGCAGCCGCGGUAAUACGUAGGGUGCGAGCGUUAAUCGGAAUUACUGGGCGUAAAGCGUGCGCAGGCGGUUAUGUAAGACAGAUGUGAAAUCCCCGGGCUCAACCUGGGAACUGCAUUUGUGACUGCAUAGCUAGAGUACGGCAGAGGGGGAUGGAAUUCCGCGUGUAGCAGUGAAAUGCGUAGAUAUGCGGAGGAACACCGAUGGCGAAGGCAAUCCCCUGGGCCUGUACUGACGCUCAUGCACGAAAGCGUGGGGAGCAAACAGGAUUAGAUACCCCAGUAGUCC